rnacentral:rRNA from 1 species
UACGGGGGGGGCAAGCGUUGUUCGGAAUUACUGGGCGUAAAGAGCUCGUAGGCGGUCUGUCGCGUCUGCUGUGAAAACCUAGGGCUUAACUCUGGGCGUGCAGUGGGUACGGGCAGGCUAGAGUGCGGUAGGGGAGACUGGAAUUCCUGUUGUAGCGGUGAAAUGCGCAGAUAUCAGGAGGAACACCGGUGGCGAAGGCGGGUCUCUGGGCCGAUACUGACGCUGAGGAGCGAAAGCGUGGGGAGCGAACAGG